GCCUUCGUGGUGUAGUGGUCAGCAUGCUCGACGCGAAUUUGAGAGGUCCGUGGUUCGAGUCCCCGCGAGAGCA
rnacentral:tRNA from 1 species